rnacentral:rRNA from 1 species
AUGGCCAGUGCCAAAAGACUUGCGCAAUUGGCAAAUAAGUGGAGGGUUGAAGCACUUGGGAGGAAGAGGCUCACAAUGUCAGCCAAAGAAGACCAAGACUGCUGCAGUUCUAUACCGGCCAAGGGCCACUGUGUCAUGUACACAGCCGAUGGGAGGCGUUUCGAGGUCCCGCUGGAGUACCUCAGCACGAUGGUCUUCGGCGAGCUCCUGAGGAUGUCUCAGGAGGAAUUUAGCUUUGCAAGCGAUGGGAAGAUCACACUGCCUUGUGAUGCCGGAGUGAUGGAGUAUGCCAUGUCCCUGCUUAGGAGAAACGCCUCUGCCGGUGUCGAGAGUACAUUGCUGAGCUCUAUGGUGACAUCUUGCGCACUACACCGGCCAUAUGAUGCCUACUGUUGGAGCUAG